GAAGAGUCCAGGAAGCAGGCUCAAAAAGACUGAUCAGAGAGCAGGAAUUCAGAUCCUUUUCAUCUGUGACUCUGUCAUUUUCAACAUGUGGCUUCAAAAGUCUGCUUCAAGCCAGUGAAAAGAAAACAAAUAUGAAGAAUAGACUUUUCCAGGCCUGGAAGUGGCACUUAUGACUUUCACUCACAUCCCAACAGCCAGAACUCAGUUAUAUGGGAAAUGUAAUCUAACUAUGUGUCCAUGAAGAACAGGACAUCCGGGAAGCAAUUAGCAGUUUUUUCUACAAUGGUAUAGCAACUGGAUCAGUGUGGAGAAUUUACAGGGCAUCAAAGAAGAACCACUCUUCUUUACCCAACAUGGUGGUGUAGGUACACUAGAAACUCUUGGUGGAGGAAUAGGUCAGACCUAUAAGUGAACAGGAAGCCAG
rnacentral:lncRNA from 1 species